ACGCUGGCGGCGUGCUUAACACAUGCAAGUCGAACGAACCUUCGGGUUAGUGGCGGACGGGUGAGUAACGCGUGGGAAUCUGCCCUCAGGAGGGGGAUAACGGCCGGAAACGGCCGCUAAUACCCCAUAUGCCGAGAGGUGAAAUGAAUUUCGCCUGAGGAUGAGCCCGCGUCUGAUUAGCUAGUUGGUGAGGUAAGAGCUCACCAAGGCAUCGAUCAGUAGCUGGUCUGAGAGGAUGAUCAGCCACAUUGGGACUGAGACACGGCCCAAACUCCUACGGGAGGCAGCAGUGGGGAAUCUUGCACAAUGGAGGAAACUCUGAUGCAGCGAUGCCGCGUGAGUGAAGAAGGCCUUUGGGUUGUAAAGCUCUUUCGUCGGGGAAGAAAAUGACUGUACCCGAA
rnacentral:rRNA from 1 species